UAAGCGUGCCUUGUGUUUAGAAUGUUUACAGAUUUGGACAAAAAAUGUGAGGAAAAAAGGCGAAAAAGGGCUGUUUGGGGGUGAAAAUUGGAAACAGCUCCCAAACAGCCCAAGAUCAUCACGGUUACCUUGGCCUCUCUUCCCCUAAUAUCUAGUUCUCUCACUCCAUGACUCUCUCUAUCUUUGUUUUCUCUUUGACUUAAGUAAUUUUGUUCUACAAUGUCUCACCCACCAGGGCCUUCACCAUCCGUAUUUUCUGGAGGAUCUUCAACUUUCCCCAAAAACAAUUUGAGGAAUAAAUCCCUCUCUUUCUCUCUUUCUCACUCACCCAUUCUUUCUCUCCCUCUCCCUCUGAAUGUUUCUGUUCAUCUAUGUUUAUUUUUCCUUCUCUCAAAUUUUGCACCUACCAACACUGCCAUCAUCAUUUUCCAAGUACCAGCAGUUCGCCUAUCUCCAAAAACCCAAUUUUAGUUAUGGGCCUUCGGUCCUCCCUCUCUCUCCCUCAAUUUCUAUUUUUUUCUCUGUUUUUCCUAAUUUUCAAAACCAAUUUAUUUGUUAUCCCUAAUUUUCAAAGCCCUAAUGAGUGGAUGCUUGAAGGGAUGGCCUCAAAUCUUACUCUCCAGAUUUUGUUAGUUGCUUAAAAUUAACUAGUCAUGGUAUUGGUGCAUAUAAAUUUCUGCUGCAAAUUGAACUUUGUCUCAUCUUUCUUAUUAGGACCACUAACAUAGUGCCCACUAGGUAGUGCAAUUUUAACUGAUAUACCAAAAUAUAUCGAUAUUAGAAAAACUAAACCUGAUAAUAAUACACCAGCAAUCAGUUUCUCCCUAGCAAGACUUUAUGGAAGACUGUAGCCCAGAGAAGACAACACCUUGGUCAAAUUCAGAAGCUUUAGUGCAAUGACAUCAAAACUUUUUACGACUACAGGAUUUGCAAAAGCAACCUGUAAUUUUACCACAUUGAUUGGUCAAGGGGCAUUUGGUCCAGUUUAUAAAGCUCAGAUGUUAACUAGGGAGACAGUUGCUGUUAAAGUGCUUGCAACUGAUUCUAGCAAGGAGCAAAAGAAUUCUAAAUAGAGCUAGCAGAAGCAUCAAAAGCACAAUUUACACGUGAUUAUAGUGAUCACUUUGCUCUUGUCCGGGCUUAUAAGGGCUGGAAAGAAGCUGAAAGAGACAUAAUUGGAUAUGAAUACUACUGGAAGAAUUUUCUUUCUACAAAUCAAUGAAAGCUAUUGAUCCUCUGCGAAGGGAGUUCUACUCUUCACUUAAGAAAUAUAUUUUAAAUUUUAAUGCUAGAUGGAUGUGAAUUGGAUGAUUAUAUAGAUUACAAGCGGAUUUUUAAUUGAAGGAAUAUGUAGUUUGGAAUUACUUGUGGAUGAAAACUUAUAAUAGUUGCUGACUUUAAUUAAACAGUUUCAAAAUUUGAUGAUUUA